UACAAAACUAACGACAGCUACAAGUUAACAACAACAGUAUCAGUUGAGGUUUCUCGCUGUCUUCCUUCCUGGAAUCUUAGCCCCCGAUGAUUCCGACUUCACUGUUUCAAAUCGUACUUCACGUCUGGGAGAAAAGGCCGGUUGGAGGUCUCAGGCAUUGGGGUCUCACUUUCCAUCAUCCCAAUCCAAGCCUGCAGCAACCCAGGAAAUUACACCAAUCUGUCAAAGUGGGAAGUUGUUAUUACCUUAUAGCAGCAGAUAGGUUCGAGAGAUAGUCCGUGUGGAAUCUUAUCCUCUUUUCAUCCUUUAAAGCCUUUUCUAAAGGUAUGAAAGGUUUGUUUGGAUCAUCCAUACCUGUUCUCAUGAAUUUGAACCGUUAAUACUUUCUCAAAGUUUGAUUUGUAAAUUUUAAAUCUGAACCUACUCACCAUUUUCUGUAAUUAUCACUGGAGGGUUCCAGUACUUAUCUUUCAGAUGUCUUGCCAACUUUCGGAUGCCCCAUGGUACUAUGCGUAACCAGCGGGAAGCUGCCUGGAGGAGGAAUAACUGAUGAAAUUUCUUAAAUAUGAAACCAGUGACUGAAUUCAGGGGUUUAGCAAGGGGUUGAUACAUACUCUUUCUCCGAUUGCCACUCCUUCUUUAUAUGCUACAAUCAAAGUCAGCAUCAGAUAUCGCAUCCUGCAUUAUGAACUUUCGAAUCCGAAUCCUGUCAUUUCGAGCAUAUAGUGUGGUGUAGUGGUUUAUGCCAACAAAGUCCAAAGAUCCAACCAGGAAUUUUGAGAUUGCCUGUGAAAUCUCUGAAAUUACCAUCCUAAUGAGAAGUCGAUUGCUCUAUGUGCUGCAUCUAUGUCCUCAUCAUUAUCAGAUACAGGGUACCUUGAAAAAUUGCUGGUAACUAUGAUAAGCAGCCGCAUGAGAGAGAAGGAUGUUGUGAGCAACAAUGUAUGGCUCUGCAGAUGAAUUUCCUUUCUUACAAAACAAAUGACCAAGAAUCGAACAUCUCCCAGGAGCUUGUAUGCCUAGGUCAUAACCUUGGAGAGCGGUAUUAUGAGGCUCGUUGAAGGUGAUCCAGUGCUUCACUCUAUCUCCAAAAGUUUGGAAGCAGGUGAAGGCAUAAUGUUCAAAGUCUUUUCUGUAAGCGAGCGAGGUAAGGAUUAUGUUUUAUCAGCAUUUUCAAAAUGUCUCCUGCGGCUGUUUGAUACUUACACUAUCUGUGUGCUUAACCAUCCUUCAUAUCUGUCUUCAAGCACUUGUGGAAGAUCCCAGUGAUAUAGUGUUACAAAAGGCUUGAUCCCUGAUUGAGAGGAGUUACAUUUAAAAAUUGAUCAAAUUAUAUUCUUCUAAAAGAAUUAUCUCUCUAAGAAUGUAUUUAUUAGAGAGGUCUCAUGGAGUAACCUUUUUCCAGCAAAGCAUCUAUAAGGCUGUUGUAGUAGUUUAUUCCUUCUGAGUUGGGUUUUCCUGUUCCAUCUGUUUAAGGUUAUUUUCAAAAGCGUUAAGUAAUCAGAUGACAAUGAAAUAGUUAAAAACAAAAUCUGAACAGAAUCAGAUCUUACUUGGAAAAAUUCUGGGCCACGAUAUCGAGAAUCUGUAUGCAUCCACUCCCAUAUCCUUCAUCAAGUCUAUGUCACUCUGUAAAUUUUGAGUUUUUAGUCUCUCUAUUUUGGGGCAAAGUAAGAGAUUAGCAGUCCGUUGGCUAAUAAUUUAUUUGAACUCUGCCAACUGUCUUGUUUGGAUUUGUUUCCUGUUAUACUAUUAAAGUUGUUGAUGCAUCAUUGCCAUCGCAUUA